UGGGGCGUGGUGCAAUCGGCAGCACAGCGGACUUUGAAUCCGUUAAUCCUGGUUCGAGUCCAGGCGCCCCGG
rnacentral:tRNA from 1 species